UUCGGUCCUGAGUAAAGCGGCGGACGGGUGAGUAACACGUAGGUAAUCUUCCCUUGAGCGGGGGACAACAGGCCGAAAGGCCUGCUAAUACCGCAUACGUUUCUUGGGACUCUGGUCCUGGGAAGGAAAGCUAGGCCGCAAGGUCCGGCACUCGAGGAGGAGCCUGCGUCGCAUCAGCUAGUUGGUGGGGUAACGGCCUACCAAGGCGAAGACGCGUAGCUGGUCUGAGAGGAUGAUCAGCCACACUGGGACUGAGACACGGCCCAGACUCCUACGGGAGGCAGCAGUGGGGAAUAUUGGACAAUGGGCGCAAGCCUGAUCCAGCCACGCCGCGUGAGUGAUGAAGGCCUUCGGG
rnacentral:rRNA from 1 species